UACGUAGGUGGCAAGCGUUACUCGGAAUCACUAGGCGUAAAGCGCAGGUAGGCGGUUGGAUAAGUUUCUUGUGAAAGCUCCUGGCUUAACUGGGAGAGGUCAAGGAAUACUGUCUGACUUGAGUGUGGUAGGGGUAACUGGAAUUCCCGGUGUAGCGGUGAAAUGCGUAGAUAUCGGGAGGAAUACCUAUAGCGAAGGCAGGUUACUGGGCCAUCACUGACGCUGAGCUGCGAAAGCUAGGGGAGCAAACAGG
rnacentral:rRNA from 1 species